rnacentral:rRNA from 1 species
GACGAACGCUGGCGGCGUGCUUAACACAUGCAAGUCGAACGGAAAGGCCCUGCUUUUGUGGGGUGCUCGAGUGGCGAACGGGUGAGUAACACGUGAGUAACCUGCCCUUGACUUUGGGAUAACUUCAGGAAACUGGGGCUAAUACCGGAUAGGAGCUCCUGCUGCAUGGUGGGGGUUGGAAAGUUUCGGCGGUUGGGGAUGGACUCGCGGCUUAUCAGCUUGUUGGUGGGGUAGUGGCUUACCAAGGCUUUGACGGGUAGCCGGCCUGAGAGGGUGACCGGCCACAUUGGGCCUGAGAUACGGCCCAGACGCCUACGGGAGGCAGCAGUGGGGAAUAUUGCACAAUGGGCGGAAGCCUGAUGCAGCAACGCCGCGUGCGGGAUGACGGCCUUCGGGUUGUAAACCGCUUUCGCCUGUGACGAAGCGUGAGUGACGGUAAUGGGUAAAGAAGCACCGGCUAACUACGU